GAACAUAGCUCAGCUAUCACUAUAUAUAAAGUCCUGUAUCCAGCUUUUUCAAUAUAACAUUAAAUUAAAAUCAUUUUUUCUCGUAUCAAUAAAAAUCAAAAUCGUUUGUAAACAUAAUUUUAGCGACAGAGUAACAUUCCGUCAUGUGGGUGUACU